rnacentral:rRNA from 1 species
GACGUAGGGCGCGAGCGUUGUCCGGAUUUAUUGGGCGUAAAGAGCUCGUAGGCGGCUUGUCGCGUCGACUGUGAAAACCCGAGGCUCAACUUCGGGCUUGCAGUCGAUACGGGCAGGCUAGAGUUCGGUAGGGGAGACUGGAAUUCCUGGUGUAGCGGUGAAAUGCGCAGAUAUCAGGAAGAACACCGGUGGCGAAGGCGGCUCUCUGGGCCUUACCUGACGCUGAGGAGCGAAAGCGUGGGGAGCAAACAGG